UGCCAUCCGGGAAGACCCCCGUGCCAGGAAGCGGCGGGGGUGGUAGGGUGGGGUGGCCUUCCCUGCUCCCAUACAGUGCCAAAAUGUGGGCCCUCCUGUAGGGCGGGGGCAGGGUCUCAGGCCACGGGGAGAGGGGCUGCAGGCGCCCCCCCCCCUGUUCCACCACUCCAUAGUCUAAACAGGGUAAAAAGCAUGUGAGAUUAGGGCGAGAGGAGAGGUUCCUGUACCCAAGAGGAAAGUGUCCCAGGGGACCACCACUAUCUCUCAGAGGCAGGGUGGUCAAUGGGCUUGGGAAGGCUGGUUUUUCCAUGGGUGAGCUUCACUCCUGCACCGCCCUUCACCUUAGGAACCCAAAGACAUCUUUCUUGUGCCAUAACACAAAGGGGUCUCUGGAUUCAUGGCAGGAAAACCCAUUUCACCUGAAUUCCCUCCCUUUUCCAUUUGUCACUUCAAAUGACAUUAUCGGUGUCGGGGGCACAUUUUCUCAAGCUUCAGGGCGGGCUUGCCAGCCCCCCAUCUCAAGGGCCCCCAAGUGUUUCUGAGCUAGAACGUAGAAGAGCCGAGGGGAGCCUCGGGCUGGGGUCCGUGAGCUGCUCAGCUUGUGGAAGAGCCGCUUCCACUGGGGCCGGAGGCCAGUCACAUGGUGGUGACGCCGAGUAGCGUGUCCUGAGGACGGCACAGGGACAGGGUCUAGGGGGGCUCCCCGGGGCAGGAAAAAGCAUUGGGUGGGGGCAGUGAAGUUCACGUGUAAGCUGAUGGUUUGCGGUGGUGUGGGACGUGGCAUGUGUGGCGGGUUUGCAGCCAAUGAGUGUGUUUGGGGUGGGAUGGGGUGGGCUAGUGUGUAUGCUGGGGGAGGGAGGGUGUAGAGGAGCAGUUUUUUGGUGUAAAAUGGUGGGAAGUGUAAGGGGUUCCCUGUCCUCUGUGCCUUCCCUUUUCCCCUUGCUUCCUUACCCGGCAGGAAAGUCAUUGGACUGUUUUUCAGGGACUCCCAGGGGUCUCGCUCAGAGGAUCUUUGCUGCAGCCUGUGCAAAGACCCUGGCCCCAGCGCCAAAUUUUGGGUCCAAACGUGCUGAAGAAGGGAGAUUCAGGGAGGACGUGGGGAUGUCAAACUCUCCACUCUCUCCCAUUCUCCCUCUUGACUUUUGGGGUUGGGAGGGGGCUCAUUCUGUGACUGGGGGAGUCAAAUUCUCAGCCAUACAAAAUUUACUGCAGAACAGGGGAUUCCAGCUCUGACCUUGGCCUUGCAUUACUUUGCUACCUUUCGGGGUGUUCCUUGCAAACAGAGCAAUGAUACACCUUCCGGCGGCCCCCCUGCUUUCCUCUCAAAUGUCCAGGCAGUGGGAGUCCCUGUGAGGCUUCAGGUGAGGGCUCUGCUGGGAGGGCUGCUGAGCUACAGACAGGAUCAAUGCUCUCUUUGCUCUCUGCAGCUUCUACAGUAACACUUGCUCUUGCUCUUGCUCUUUGGCCCUCACGGGCAGGAGUAAGAAAUGCUCGCUCUCCCAGGAGAACGAGAAAAGGCCCCAUCGCCCUCCGCAUGCCAUGCUUUCCUGAAGGGAUGAGAGGACAAGCUGGAGGAGAAGGCGAUGGGAGGGAAGGAUGCGGAGCGGGACAGAAUCAGGAAGGCCGCAGGGCCUUUGAGGAAGCCCCCAAACCCUCCUCUCUAGGCUGAGCCCAUCAUAUCCCCACUGCCCCUGGAAGCGCCCUGGUGUUGUAUAUAAUGCUCCAAUUCUGCCCUUGUUUGUGGGCCCCUGCCCGGCCCUGUCCCGUCAUUAGCGAUUAGUGAUAACCACGUAGGUCCCGGCCCGCCAGCCCUCUCUGACUGGAGCCAACAAUACCGCCACAUAGACAAAUUUUUCUUUAGUUUGGGGAUUUGUUUGUUUUUAUUUUUCAUUUUGUACAGAGAAAAAUCCCUUUCAAAAGUGUCUUUCGACUGACGUAACUUUUCUGGUGCUGUUGUUAACCCGUUUCUUUUUUUUAAUUUAUUUUCCCUUUCUCCUCGUGCUCCCGUCUUCCCUUUGGCUCCCUCUCCUCCCUGCCCCCAGCCCUUCUCUCCAGAUAACGUUUCUUUUCCUUGGUUUGUUUGUUGGACUUUGGAUAAAUUCCCCCCCUUCCCCUCCUGCCCCACCCUCCGUGAUCCAGCCCUUGAGUUGAAUAGUCACUGCUACAAGUAACAAGCGCACUGUGAAC
ensembl:lncRNA